CAGGCUUAACACAUGCAAGUCGAGGGGCAUCAGGAAGAAAGCUUGCUUUCUUUGCUGGCGACCGGCGCACGGGUGAGUAACACGUAUCCAACCUGCCCUUUACUCGGGGAUAGCCUUUCGAAAGAAAGAUUAAUACCCGAUAGCAUAAUGAUUCCGCAUGGUUUCAUUAUUAAAGGAUUCCGGUAAAGGAUGGGGAUGCGUUCCAUUAGGUUGUUGGUGAGGUAACGGCCCACCAAGCCUUCGAUGGAUAGGGGUUCUGAGAGGAAGGUCCCCCACAUUGGAACUGAGACACGGUCCAAACUCCUACGGGAGGCAGCAGUGAGGAAUAUUGGUCAAUGGGCGCUAGCCUGAACCAGCCAAGUAGCGUGAAGGAUGAAGGCUCUAUGGGUCGUAAACUUCUUUUAUAUAAGAAUAAAGUGCAGUAUGUAUACUGUUUUGUAUGUAUUAUAUGAAUAAGGAUCGGCUAACUCCGUGCCAGCAGCCGCGGUAAUACGGAGGAUCCGAGCGUUAUCCGGAUUUAUUGGGUUUAAAGGGAGCGUAGGUGGACUGGUAAGUCAGUUGUGAAAGUUUGCGGCUCAACCGUAAAAUUGCAGUUGAUACUGUCAGUCUUGAGUACAGUAGAGGUGGGCGGAAUUCGUGGUGUAGCGGUGAAAUGCUUAGAUAUCACGAAGAACUCCGAUUGCGAAGGCAGCUCACUGGACUGCAACUGACACUGAUGCUCGAAAGUGUGGGUAUCAAACAGGAUUAGAUACCCUGGUAGUCCACACAGUAAACGAUGAAUACUCGCUGUUUGCGAUAUACAGUAAGCGGCCAAGCGAAAGCAUUAAGUAUUCCACCUGGGGAGUACGCCGGCAACGGUGAAACUCAAAGGAAUUGACGGGGGCCCGCACAAGCGGAGGAACAUGUGGUUUAAUUCGAUGAUACGCGAGGAACCUUACCCGGGCUUAAAUUGCAGUGGAAUGAUGUGGAAACAUGUCAGUGAGCAAUCACCGCUGUGAAGGUGCUGCAUGGUUGUCGUCAGCUCGUGCCGUGAGGUGUCGGCUUAAGUGCCAUAACGAGCGCAACCCUUAUCUUUAGUUACUAACAGGUUAUGCUGAGGACUCUAGAGAGACUGCCGUCGUAAGAUGUGAGGAAGGUGGGGAUGACGUCAAAUCAGCACGGCCCUUACGUCCGGGGCUACACACGUGUUACAAUGGGGGGUACAGAAGGCAGCUAGCGGGUGACCGUAUGCUAAUCCCAAAAUCCUCUCUCAGUUCGGAUCGAAGUCUGCAACCCGACUUCGUGAAGCUGGAUUCGCUAGUAAUCGCGCAUCAGCCACGGCGCGGUGAAUACGUUCCCGGGCCUUGUACACACCGCCCGUCAAGCCAUGGGAGCCGGGGGUACCUGAAGUACGUAACCGCAAGGAUCGUCCUAGGGUAAAACUGGUGACUGGGGCUAAGUC
rnacentral:rRNA from 1 species